AUUGAACGCUGGCGGCAGGCCUAACACAUGCAAGUCGAGCGGGGUUUUCGGACCUAGCGGCGGACGGGUGAGUAAUGCGUAGGAAGCUACCCGAUAGAGGGGGAUACCAGUUGGAAACGACUGUUAAUACCGCAUAAUGUCUACGGACCAAAGUGUGGGAUCUUCGGGCCACAUGCUAUCGGAUGCGCCUACGUGGGAUUAGCUAGUUGGCGAGGUAAUGGAUCACCAAGGCGACGAUCCCUAGCUGGUUUGAGAGGAUGAUCAGUCACACUGGAACUGAGACACGGUCCAGACUCCUACGGGAGGCAGCAGUGGGGAAUAUUGGACAAUGGGCGCAAGCCUGAUCCAGCCAUGCCGCGUGUGUGAAGAAGGCCUUCGGGUUGUAAAGCACUUUCAGUAGGGAGGAAGCGUUGUGUGUUAAUAGUACACAGCGUUGACGUUACCUACAGAAGAAGCACCGGCUAACUCUGUGCCAGCAGCCGCAGUAA
rnacentral:rRNA from 1 species